rnacentral:lncRNA from 1 species
AGUGGCAAUGCACUGGAGUUAGAGUUUAUCCGAGGAUAGUGUAAGAUGGAUUCAACAGAUCACACACAUCUGCAGCGCUUCUGUGAACAGAGAAAACAGAAUAAAAUGAUAGACUUACAUAAAAAGGAACAUGUAGGCAUAUAGACUAAAUAUAUUUCACUUAAAUCAUUGAAAGAUUAACAAAAUGAAGAAAAUAGAGUUUCAGUUCACUGAUGCAAUCCAAAGUUCUCGGAAAGUAAAACUAGAUGGCAGAAAGUAGUUUUCUUUAUUUUACAAAAGCUUUACAGUUUUAUUUAUUUUACAGUUUUGAAUGAUGUCUUGCUUGUAUAACCAUAUCGCGCCGACACCUCACACACACACAGACACAACAUAUUUUAGCGACAUUGCAACCUGUUCAUUAUCAAAAUAAAAUACAGAAACAUAAAAAAAAUAAAUUAAGGAAACAUACAAAAAGUUGCACUGCUCUGUUGUACAAUCUGUUGCAUUCAGCGUGACCACCGCCUCACUGUGCUGAUAUAGCCAAUGUGAAAGAUGAUGUCGAUGCAAGUGAAGUACAAAGCCUAGCCUAAUUUUAGAGGAUUUGUUGCGGAGAGAAACUAAUAACUAGUGGUCGACAGAUAUAUCGCCAUGUGAUUUUUGGCAUUUUUCUGCAUGGCCGAUGUGUUCAAGGCGGGACUUUUAUUUUGAUUGCAUGCCAGACUUUUAUUUUGACAGCACAGCGCCUGAGCACACAGUGCUCACGUUCUCCCUCUUGUUUGCUGUCGUCAUUAACAGUUCUGUCUAAUAUGGAUAGAAGUCUGUCUAAUAAUCAGAUAGAACGGUCAAACAAAGGAAUUAAUGUAUACAAAAAGUAAUAUAUAACGAUUGCUUUUAUAUUAUUAGUAAUAGAAAGGCAAACAUUAUAAUACUUUCGCGUAUGCUGCCAGCAUUAAGCAGAUACGCAUUUAUUUCAUUUAAACAAUUAUUUGAAUGGCUAAUGAACAUUUCAUUUCACAAACCAUGAAAAUUUAGUCAAAUCCAGCUGUGAGAUCUUGUGAAGUGUGCAUUUUUAUCCAGCAUGAUCCCGGGUUCUCUGACAGUCGGUCCCUGUGAAUUGAAUGCUUUAAACUCAUGAUUUCAAAUUAUGCUGCACUUUAUGCAUUUGCCCACCAUCAUAUUCAUGUCAUUUUCACUGUGUGCUGUAUGUAAAAUGAGUGUUACCCUGGCUUUAUUUUAAAAAUUAGAUUCCCAAUGCACACAAACUUCCCAGAAUACUGAGUGAUCUGUUAGUUACAGUGUUUACUUCCUUUUUAAUUAUAUUUUUAUUAAAUAUUUAUUUAUUUGUGAAAAAUACUUUGUCAUCUAAAGUAUAAGUAUGUUUAUUUUACACAUUUAUCCAUUGUCAAAUGAUUUCAAAUUUCUUAAAUAUCAAUAAUAAUAAUAAAAAAAUAUUUGUCCCGAAUAUCACAAGUUUAAAUGUGCUUUUAACAGUUCAGUAAAUAAGAAGUUGAUAUUGUGUUAUAUUUUAAACACAAUAUUAUGUGUUUUGAUCAAUAUUACCUAUAAAGCCACAGCAGAACUCUUGCUCAUCUUCGAACAACACAGCGGCGUUUCAUAUAUAUAAAUUUAACAAAGUUUUUUCACAUAAUAUUUCGUUUUAUUUCAGCUUUAUUUCAAAAUACAAUCAAGGUUCAUAAUAGUUUUAGUUUAAGUUAACCCUCUGGAGUCUAAGGGUAUUUUGGGGCCUGGAGAAGUUUUGUCAUGCCCUGACAUUUGUGCUUUUUUCUAGUUUCUUAUAAAUAUCUAAAUGGCUAAAGUCUAAUCUCACUGUAAUCAGCACAAACUGGGCUAUAAUAAUAUGUGAGCAGCAUGUAUGUACAUGAUUGUGUUUUUGUAGGAUAUCACACCAGCAGGUAGAGUAAUAUCACAGGAGUGCAGAUUUUGUCCCGAAUAUCACAAGUUUAAAUGUGCUUUUUAACAGUUCAGUAAAUAAGAAGUUGAUAUUGUGUUAUAUUUUAAACACAAUAUUAUGUGUUUUGAUCAAUAUUACCUAUAAAGCCACAGCAGAACUCUUGCUCAUCUUCGAACAACACAGCGGCGUUUCAUAUAUAUAAAUUUAACAAAGUUUUUUCACAUAAUAUUUCGUUUUAUUUCAGCUUUAUUUCAAAAUACAAUCAAGGUUCAUAAUAGUUUUAGUUUAAGUUAACCCUCUGGAGUCUAAGGGUAUUUUUGGGGCCUGGAGAAGUUUUGUCAUGCCCUGACAUUUGUGCUUUUUUCAGUUUCUUAUAAAUAUCUAAAUGGCUAAAGUCUAAUCUCACUGUAAUCAGCACAAACUGGGCUAUAAUAAUAUGUGAGCAGCAUGUAUGUACAUGAUUGUGUUUUUGAGUAAAAAAAAUGUUAUGCGUGGUUAGUGAAAAACUAAAAAUGUUAAAUCACUUGAAUAAGGCAAUAAAACACAUACAGAAAAUUGGUUCCCAGGAAUUUUGAGAACUGGAGCUAUCCAAAAGCCGCGCGGUUCAGUGAAACAUUUGAAUCUCAAUAGCGCGUUCAGCGCGGGGGCGUGGUCACAUUAGAAGAUAAUGAAGGGAGACGUGAAAAACGGACAUCGCGUUGUUUUCAUAUGGAUUACUUUAUCACAGAAUAUUUGUUUUCAGCAGCACUUGUUUAGUUUAAAAGUAGACAUGUCAGGCUUUCUAUAGAUAUCUCUCUCAUGUCUCUGUGUUGAGUAUUCACUGAGUUACAGUUCAUUUUAAUGACGCAUUUGUAUCUGAAGAUCAGCGCAGACAAAGGCUGCAGACAGCACUCCUUGUUUGUUAUCUUUAUUUUA